rnacentral:ncRNA from 1 species
UAAGGUGCCGGAAUACACACAAGAGGUGUUAGUUCAUUUAGACAGCCCGACGGUGCGGAAUCCGCUAAGGAGUGUGUAACAACUCACGGGCCGAAUGAACUAGCCCUGAAAAUGGAUGGCGCUUAAGCGUGUUAACCGAA